UUCCCCCCAAAAUACAGGACGUUCCGCGCAGCUCCAUCGCGUAGUAGCUAACACUCGCGACUGGAGAGCGGCGCGGCCACGCCGUAAAACACCCAACUCUUCUGAAGUUGACCUCGAAUCAGGUAGGAAUACCCGCUGAACUUAAGCAUAUCAAUAAGCGGAGGAAAAGAAACCAACAGGGAUUGCCCCAGUAACGGCGAGUGAAGCGGCAACAGCUCAAAUUUGAAAUCUGGCUCUCGGGCCCGAGUUGUAAUUUGUAGAGGAUGCUUUUGGUGAGGUGCCUUCCGAGUUCCCUGGAACGGGACGCCAUAGAGGGUGAGAGCCCCGUCUGGUUGGACGCCGAACCUCUGUAAAGCUCCUUCGACGAGUCGAGUAGUUUGGGAAUGCUGCUCUAAAUGGGAGGUAUAUGUCUUCUAAAGCUAAAUACCGGCCAGAGACCGAUAGCGCACAAGUAGAGUGAUCGAAAGAUGAAAAGAACUUUGAAAAGAGAGUUAAACAGUACGUGAAAUUGUUGAAAGGGAAGCGCUUGUGACCAGACUUGGGCUUGGUUGAUCAUCCGGGGUUCUCCCCGGUGCACUCUUCCGGCCUAGGCCAGCAUCAGUUCGCCCUGGGGGAUAAAGGCUUCGGGAACGUGGCUCUCUCCGGGGAGUGUUAUAGCCCGCUGCGUAAUACCCUGUGGCGGACUGAGGUUCGCGCAUUCGCAAGGAUGCUGGCGUAAUGGUCAUCAGUGACCCGUCUUGAAACACGGACCAAGGAGUCGUCUUCGUAUGCGAGUGUUCGGGUGUCAAACCCCUACGCGAAAUGAAAGUGAACGCAGGUGAGAGCUUCGGCGCAUCAUCGACCGAUCCUGAUGUUAUCGGAUGGAUUUGAGUAAGAGCAUACGGGGCCGGACCCGAAAGAAGGUGAACUAUGCCUGUGUAGGGUGAAGCCAGAGGAAACUCUGGUGGAGGCUCGCAGCGGUUCUGACGUGCAAAUCGAUCGUCAAACAUGGGCAUGGGGGCGAAAGACUAAUCGACUCCUGG
rnacentral:rRNA from 1 species